UCGGGAAUUUUGGGCAAUGGGCGAAAGCCUGACCCAGCAACGCCGCGUGAGGGAUGAAGGCCUUCGGGUCGUAAACCUCUGUCGGGAGGGAAGAACGGUGGCUCUUCGAACAGGUGAGCCGCCUGACGGUACCUCCAAAGGAAGCACCGGCUAACUCCGUGCCAGCAGCCGCGGUAAUACGGAGGGUGCGAGCGUUGUUCGGAAUCAUUGGGCGUAAAGCGCGUGUAGGCGGCUUGGCAAGUCGGGUGUGAAAUCCCGGGGCCCAACCCCGGAACUGCACUCGAAACUGCCUCGCUAGAGUCCCGGAGAGGAAGGCGGAAUUCCCGGUGUAGAGGUGAAAUUCGUAGAUAUCGGGAGGAACACCAGCGGCGAAGGCGGCCUUCUGGACGGUGACUGACGCUGAGACGCGAAAGCGUGGGGAGCAAACAGGAUUAGAUACCCCCGUAGUCC
rnacentral:rRNA from 1 species